UACAGAGGUCCCGAGCGUUGUUCGGAUUCACUGGGCGUAAAGGGUGCGUAGGUGGUGGGGUAAGUCGGAUGUGAAAUCUCGGAGCUCAACUCCGAAACUGCAUUCGAUACUGCCGUGCUUGAGGACUGGAGAGGAGACUGGAAUUUACGGUGUAGCGGUGAAAUGCGUAGAUAUCGUAAGGAAGACCAGUGGCGAAGGCGGGUCUCUGGACAGUUCCUGACGCUGAGGCACGAAGGCCAGGGGAGCAAACGGG
rnacentral:rRNA from 1 species